AUGCUGUGCAAGAACAGAGCUGUUCCUGGCUUCUUGUGCAAGCACCUUGCCAGGAGCGUUGAGUGGCUGGUGGAUAACUGGAUUGAUAAAUCAGAUGAAGCCGGAGUGGUGGAACUGGAGAAAAUGUUUUUUGGCUGAUGGUGAGGUCGGGUAACAGCUAGGAUAGCAGGAAUCAAAAUGAAGCCUGUUGUACCCAAUACUGGACUACGAGUGCUGCCAGUCACUCCUGCUUAAUUAAUUACUGCUGUACACGUUAUGCUUGACCUCUCUGAGGAAGAGCAUGUGUUUGCAUCUUAAUUAACAAAAAUGUUGCAUCUGUCACAGUGAGGGAAAACAACAUCUGAGCUGUGGGCAUGGGGCUUCCCUGCUUUGAGCUCACAGCCAGUCAGACAGUCACCUGCAAUUUGUCUGACAGGAAACUGAAGCUGUGAUGGGAUGUAAUUGAAAAAAUACAGUUCCUGUCACUGCCAGGUGAGCAGCAGUCUCCAGGCUGUGCCAAAUCUGACUUCUUCCCAUCAAGCAAGGUGUUGCUGCACCAGUGUAUGUGAUCUGGGAAACCUGGGGUCCAUCCUUACUGGAGUGGAGAUCAGCUAUGAGUUAUUUUGGCCUCUUGGAUUAGAUAGCUAAUCUGCAUGAUGGCCAGGUGGUUGAGGUUUUAGAGGUUUUGGAGAGCAAAAAUAGGAUGCUCCCCUCCCUAUCCAUACAUAUUCCUUGUACAUCCCUGCUCGUUGCCUCUGCAGCUGGACCCAGAACUGACUGACUGCACAGCAAGAGCUGCAAAUCAAAAUGAAGAGGAUGAAAAGGGACUUCAUGGAGCAAGUACUUGAUGCACGUGGUGGCGAGAUCCCAGAUGUGAAGAAACAGCAAGUGGCUGAGGAGAAGCAGGAACUGGAAAGGAAAUUCUCCUGUUUGAGUGAGGAGGUCAAUGGGCUGAAAAAAAAAGAACUUGAGGACACCAAGAGAGAAAUGGCUCCUGCUGCUGCACUUCCAGGCACUGCAGGGAUCGUCCAGCCACCACCAGCACCUCUGCUGUCAGGGAGCUCCAGCACCCCUCAGCCUCCACCAGGAGUGGCCGUUCUCCUCCCUUCAGCUGGCCUUGGAUUCAGGGCAGCCUCCGCACCUCGGGUGCGUCCGUGGGGAUUGUCCCCACAGCGGGUUCGUGAGCCAGCAGAACAGCUGCAGAGACCAAAUUGAACCAAGCAAAAUGAAGACUUUUGCUGGCUUCUGAGCAGAUGAAAGAUGUGGCCUUGUUUUCAGAACCAAGCGAGGUCUGCAAAGGGCAGCGAGAAAACAAGAGACAGAGGCAUCCUUGAGGAGACCACAGAGAUCGUCAGCUGCUCAAGCAGGACUUUGUGCCUGGGCAAAGGCAGAAGCCAGUUGGACUGCCAGAUUUUUGUUUUCCAGCUCCCAUGGCCAACCUUCAGUGUGCCCCUGAAGAGGACUGGAGGGCCAAAAGCUGUAUCCAAGGGCAAGGCCAUCAUCUGCAGCCCUCCUGGUCUUGGGCUCUGUCCUGGUUCAGGUCCCAGCUCUGGCGUUAAAAACCCAGCGGUGCGUGAACCGGAGACAAUAACAGCUGGGGAGCUGCUGCGCUGCGGAUGGGCCCUUGGGAAGAGAGAGACGUGCCUGCAUGCAAGAGGUUUUCACUUGAAAGAGGGAAACGCGGAUUGCAGAGGGGGGAGGAAGGGCUGCUGCUCAGCCUCCAGCAGCAGAGGGGCAGCAGGGUGCUGAACAGAGGUGGUGGCACCGCCACGCUCAGGGCUGGGUGCUCCGCCAGCCUGCUAGAAGCAAGGCUUGGACCCUUCCCUUGCCGGCCACUGCCCCCGGGGAGGGAUGAGGGGGUCAAAGAUUGCAGCUCAGGCAUUGUGCUCUGUUUUCUCGGUCCUUGGGGCAUUGCAGGGCUGCCAGACGUCUCACCCUCGGGUCAGGGCGGCAGCGGGCGCUGCCGGGCUGGUGACUGCGUGGGCAGGGAGGAGUUGCCCUUGCACAGCUAAAUGCCAGUGGCUGCAUUGGGCAGCUCCAGGAAGUUGCAAAAUGAGAGAGACAUCAGGAUAUAUGAGCUGGAGUCUUGCCCAAAGGCUUUCGUUUAAUUGUAAUGGUUCCUUCUAUAUAAAGUCACUUUUUUUUGUGUGUGGCUUUGCAGCUGUGGACAAUCGAUGCUGCGGCAGCAUCGUGAUACCAUCAGGGUUUACCAAUGCAGCUUAUGUAGAAAUAAACAUUAUUUUUGGUACAAAAGAAAUGUGAUCUUGAGCGUCUUUGCCUCCAUAUCGUAAUUUUCAUGCAAAGACCAGCCUGGAGCCUCGUGGCACUGAGUCACGGGGCCUCACCCAGGCUGGAGCCGUCCCUGCGGGUGGACUGCUGGGCGCUGCUGCCGGCUGGGUGCUGCCACCCUCCCACUCCCUGAGCCAAAGAAUUCCUUGACAUCCACCCAUACCCUGGGGAUAAACCAGGAGGCAUGGCCCUGGCCACGCAGCUCAAGCCUUUCUUGUCCCCAAAGGUGUCCAUGUACCAGCAUGGCUGUGUCUGGGCAGGAUUUGGGUGAGCCUAGAGGCUGCCAGAAAUCGGGCAAGCUGCAGCUCCCUGCCGGCUGCACGACUGUCGUGGCCAGAUGGCCGCUAUAGUUGGGCAAAUGCUUUGCCACGUGCUGGUGUCCCUGGCUUCUUGUCACGGGAGCUGUUCGUCCUUGCGAGCAGUUCUGUACAUGGGGCAUGGGGACAAUGGUGCAGGGCUCUAUCACGUGUGGCCACCCAUCAUGGGGCCAAACGCGUCUUUUGGCAGCUGCUGAUGUCCCAGUGGCAUCCACUGGAGGAUGGAGGAGGAGGAGAAGCCACGGGGAGGUCAGGGCAUUGGGGACCAAAGGAGCUGGGACAAAGGGAGCCCAAAGCAACCUCCAUGGACCCAUCAUCGUUGGAGGAGCCUGGAGCAGCUUGAGCAUGGCAGUGAUGAAACAAGCUCCUGAAGCAGAAAGGAGAUGGCAGGGGGUGAGAAGGUGCUGGGGGGGCAUGACCAAGAGGGUCCUUGGAGCCUCCUGAGGAUGCUUUUUUUCCCUUCCAGGUUCAGCACACUGCCACCAGCAUCUCCCCAACGCUGUCCUCCUCACCUCCCUUGUCCCCUGCUCGGGGGCACGCAGCCAUCAGCUGCCCCUGCCUCGUCCCCAGCCCCCUUCCUGCUCGAGGUGUCCCUGCUGCUGCAUCGGGAGGGGUGAGCCAGGGCACCGCUCCCUGCAGGCACAGACACAGGGGACAGCCAAGAUAAUUUUUAAAAUGAGGGCAGAGACCUCGUUAGUGCCCCAGUUUGUCUCAACUCUCCCAAAGUGGUUUCUUUUUUGAUUAGCGAGGCAAGGACAAGUUGCUAUUUGGGGAGCAUGAUGCCCCAAAACUGGGUACUGGUGGGGGGGCAGCAUGUCCUGGGGGGCUGCUGGGCCCAUCCUCCACUUUCCAUCCUCCAAUUUCCAUUCCAUUUUCCCUCUUUCCAUCCUCCAACAACACAGGGCAGCCCGCGGCAUUGGCGAGAGCAGCCGCCUCCAAACCUUUUUGAUCUCACUUCCCCACCAGUUAAAACAUUUUGAUCCCUCCCCACCCCCCCGUACAUUUUUUAUUGAUGCACUUGUAUUGCGAUGCAUUUUGUGCAUAUUGCA